rnacentral:tRNA from 1 species
GCCUUCGUGGUGUAGUGGUUAACAUGCUUGAUGCAUAUUCGAGGGGUCUGUGGUUCGAAUCCCGUCGAGGGCA